rnacentral:rRNA from 1 species
UUGACCUCAAAUCAGGUAGGACUACCCGCUGAACUUAAGCAUAUCAAUAAGCGGAGGAAAAGAAACUAACAAGGAUUCCCCUAGUAACUGCGAGUGAAGCGGGAAAAGCUCAAAUUUAAAAUCUGGUAGUCUUUGGCUGCCCGAGUUGUAAUCUAGAGAAGCAUUAUCUGCGUUGGACUGUGUAUAAGUGUCCUGGAAUGGACCAUCAUAGAGGGUGAGAAUCCCGUCUUUGACACAGACUCCCAGUGCUUUGUGAUGUGCUCUCAAAGAGUCGAGUUGUUUGGGAAUGCAGCUCUAAAUGGGUGGUAAAUUCCAUCUAAAGCUAAAUAUUGGCGAGAGACCGAUAGCGAACAAGUACCGUGAGGGAAAGAUGAAAAGAACUUUGGAAAGAGAGUUAAACAGUACGUGAAAUUGCUGAAAGGGAAACGCUUGAAGUCAGUCGCGUUGGCUGGGGAUCAACCUUGCUUUUGCUUGGCUUACUUCCCAGUUGACGGGUCAGCAUCAGUUUUGACCAGUGGAUAAAGGCUAGGGGAAUGUGGCACCUCCUGGUGUGUUAUAGCCCUUGGUCAUAUACAUUGGUUGGGACUGAGGAACUCAGCACUUGUGCUUAGGAUGCUGGCAUAAUGGCUUUAAGCGACCCGUCUUGAAACACGGACCAAGGAGUCUAACAUGCCCGCGAGUGUUUGGGUGGAAAACCCGAGCGCGUAAUGAAAGUGAAAGUUGAGAUCCCUGUCGUGGGGAGCAUCGACGCCCGGACCAGACCUUUUGUGACGGAUCCGCGGUAGAGCGUGCAUGUUGGGACCCGAAAGAUGGUGAACUAUGCCUGAAUAGGGUGA